rnacentral:rRNA from 1 species
CGAAUCUCGAAAGCCUGUCUCAGUUCGGAUUGGAGGCUGAAACCCGCCUCCAUGAAGUUGGAUUCGCUAGUAAUCGCGCAUCAGCCAUGGCGCGGUGAAUACGUUCCCGGGCCUUGUACAUACCGCCCGUCAAGCCAUGGGAGCCGGGGGUGCCUGAAGUUCGUGACCGCAAGGAGCGACCUAGGGCAAAACUGGUGACUGGGGCUAAGUCGUAACAAGGUACC